UACGGAGGGGGCUAGCGUUGUUCGGAAUUACUGGGCGUAAAGCGCGCGCAGGCGGUCCUUCAAGUCAGAGGUGAAAGCCCAGAGCUCAACUCUGGAAUGGCCUUUGAGACUAGAGGACUUGGGUACGGGAGAGGUGAGUGGAAUUCCGAGUGUAGAGGUGAAAUUCGUAGAUAUUCGGAAGAACACCAGUGGCGAAGGCGGCUCACUGGCCCGUUACCGACGCUCAGGCGCGACAGCGUGGGGGAGCAAACAGG
rnacentral:rRNA from 1 species